rnacentral:rRNA from 1 species
GGUCUAGUGGCGCACGGGUGCGUAACGCGUGGGAAUCUGCCCUUGGGUUCGGGAUAACAGUUGGAAACGACUGCUAAUACCGGAUGAUGACUUCGGUCCAAAGAUUUAUCGCCCAGGGAUGAGCCCGCGUCGGAUUAGCUAGUUGGUGAGGUAAAGGCUCACCAAGGCGACGAUCCGUAGCUGGUCUGAGAGGAUGAUCAGCCACACUGGGACUGAGACACGGCCCAGACUCCUACGGGAGGCAGCAGUGGGGAAUAUUGGACAAUGGGCGAAAGCCUGAUCCAGCAAUGCCGCGUGAGUGAUGAAGGCCUUAGGGUUGUAAAGCUCUUUUACCCGGGAUGAUAAUGACAGUACCGGGAGAAUAAGCCCCGGCUAACUCCGUGCCAGCAGCCGCGGUAAUACGGAGGGGGCUAGCGUUGUUCGGAAUUACUGGGCGUAAAGCGCACGUAGGCGGCUUUGCA